rnacentral:rRNA from 1 species
CUGGCGGCACGCCUAACACAUGCAAGUCGAACGAAGUAGCAAUACUUAGUGGCAGACGGGUGAGUAACAUGUGGGUAUCUACCCUUUGGCCUGGAAUAACACGAGGAAACUUGUGCUAAUACCGGAUAAGUCUUUACGGAGAAAGCUUUAUGCACCAUUGGAUGAGCCCGCACUUGAUUAGUUUGUUGGUGGGGUAAUGGCCUACCAAGACUUUGAUCAAUAGCUGAUUUGAGAGGAUGAUCAGCCACAUUGGGACUGAGACACGGCCCAAACUCCUACGGGAGGCAGCAGUGGGGAAUCUUGCACAAUGGAGGAAACUCUGAUGCAGCGAUGCCGCGUGAGUGAAGAAGGCCCUUGGGUUGUAAAGCUCUUUCGUCGGGGAAGAAAAUGACUGUACCCGAAUAAGAAGGUCCGGCUAACUUCGUGCCAGCAGCCGCGGUAAUACGAAGGGACCUAGCGUAGUUCGGAAUUACUGGGCUUAAAGAGUUCGUAGGUGGUUGAAAAAGUUGGUGGUGAAAUCCCAGAGCUUAACUCUGGAACUGCCAUCAAAACUUUUCAGCUAGAGUAUGAUAGAGGAAAGCAGAAUUUCUAGUGUAGAGGUGAAAUUCGUAGAUAUUAGAAAGAAUACCAAUUGCGAAGGCAGCUUUCUGGAUCAUUACUGACACUGAGGAACGAAAGCAUGGGUAGCGAAGAGGAUUAGAUACCCUCGUAGUCCAUGCCGUAAACGAUGUGUGUUAGACGUUGGAAAUUUAUUUUCAGUGUCGCAGCGAAAGCGAUAAACACACCGCCUGGGGAGUACGACC